rnacentral:rRNA from 1 species
AUUGAACGCUGGCGGCAGGCCUAACACAUGCAAGUCGAGCGGAUCGGCGGACGGGUGAGUAAUGCCUAGGACUCUGCCUGGUAGUGGGGGAUAACGUCCGGAAACGGGCGCUAAUACCACAUACUCUCAGAUGAGCCUGGGUCGGAUUAGCUGGUUGGUGGGGUAAAGGCGUACCAAGGCGACGAUCCGUAACUGGUCUGAGAGGAUGAUCAGUCACACUGGAACUGAGACACGGUCCAGACUCCUACGGGAGGCAGCAGUGGGGAAUAUUGGACAAUGGGCGAAAGCCUGAUCCAGCCAUGCCGCGUGUGUGAAGAAGGACUUCGGGUUGUAAAGCACUUUAAGUUGGGAGGCGUUACCAACAGAAUAAGCACCGGCUAACUCCGUGCCAGCAGCCGCGGUAAUAC